UUUUUCUCUCUUAUAGAAUUCAUCGGGAAUUUUUAAGAUCUUUGUCAUUAUUCCGUGACAACUAAAUCAAACAAACGUGGUAUAGUUCACCAGUAUAUUGUACAAUUGUAUAAAUGCGGUCAGAAUCUAAGGUAUGGAAAGACCCCGACGACGACGACGAUGACCAUGAAGAUGCCGAUGACGAUGACGAUGAUGACGAUAAGAGGGAAAUAAAUAAUUGAAUAGAUAAACACCUUUAAAAACGCCCGACGCUCUCUCAACAGCUGAAAGAUU